GGCUCAUCCGAAGGUAGUAAGUGAUCUAGGCUCAUUGGUCAGUUACAGACUAAGCUUCCUCUCCUUUUCCCCUUCCUCACUACUAUAGUUGACCAGUCUUAA
ensembl:misc_RNA Y_RNA Y RNA